rnacentral:rRNA from 1 species
GGUUAAACUUAUGAUGCAAUAAAAAAUAUUUGGUUGUAAUUAAUAAUUUUUAUUUUUAGAAUUGAAGUUUAAUUUUAUUAAGUGAAAUUUUUAAAAUUAAGAUAAGUUUAAUUUUAUAUUAUGAAGUUAAUAAAUUUAGAAUAAAGACUAGGAUUAGAUACCCUAUUAUUCUAAACGGAAUUCUUGUCACCUGAUUAAUAGUAGUUAAGUUCUUGAAAAUUAAAGGAGUUGGCGGUAUUUUAGUCUAUUCAGAGGAACCUGUUCUAUAAUUGAUGAUCCACGAUUUUUUCAACUUAUUUUAAUGGUUUGUAUAUCGCCGUAGUUUGAAUAUUUUUAAAAAAUUGUAAUAUUCAAAAUUUUUUUAAUAAAAGUAAUUCAGGUCAAGGUGUAGCUUAUAGAUAAGUAGAAAUGGGUUACAAUAAAGUUAUUUUUGGAUUGGUUGAUGAAAUUUAAUUAUGAAAAUGGAUUUGAGGGUAAUUUUAUUAAAAUUAAUAAGAUGAUUUUAGCUCUAAAGUAUGUACAUA